rnacentral:rRNA from 1 species
UUGAUCCUGGCUCAGAACGAACGCUGGCGGCGUGCCUAACACAUGCAAGUUGAACGGAGUAUAUUGUUGUAGCAAUACAGUGGUGUACUUAGUGGCGGACGGGUGAGUAACACGUAGGUAACCUACCCUCAGACGGGGGACAACCCGGGGAAACCCGGGCUAAUACCGCAUAAGACCACAGACUGGGAUGUCAGUGGUAAAAGUAGCGAUACAUCUGGGGAUGGGCCUGCGGCCUAUCAGGUAGUUGGUGGGGUAACGGCCCACCAAGCCUAAGACGGGUAGCCGGGCUGAGAGGUUGGACGGCCACACUGGAACUGAGACACGGUCCAGACUCCUACGGGAGGCAGCAGUGGGGAAUUUUGCACAAUGGGCGAAAGCCUGAUGCAGCGACGCCGCGUGGAGGAUGAAGGCCUUCGGGUUGUAAACUCCUUUUGUAGGGGACAAUGAUGAUGGUACCCUGCGAAUAAGCCACGGCUAACUCUGUGCCAGCAGCCGCGGUAAGACAGAGGUGGCGAGCGUUGUUCGGAAUCACUGGGCUUAAAGGGCGCGUAGGUGGUAGUGCAAGUCUGGGGUGGAAUCUUGGGGCUUAACCCUAAAAUUGCCUUGGAAACUGUAUUACUUGAGUCAGUGAGGGGAGGGUAGAAUUCCCGGUGUAGCGGUGAAAUGCGUAGAUAUCGGGAGGAAGGCCUGUGGCGAAGGCGGCCCUCUGGCGCUGAACUGACACUGAGGCGCGAAAGCGUGGGUAGCAAACAGGAUUAGAUACCCUGGUAGUC